UAUUAUAAUAUGAAUACGCUAUCAUAAAAUAUCAUCACAAAGGAGUUGGGCCAGAUGGGCACCAUUGUUUGUCAGGAUUGUCAAAAAGUUAUUGAACAGUUUGAUGAUGAAAAAGUCACUACCCUAUACGGUACUUGUCCGACUUGUCGUGAAAUAAUAAAUAAAUAACUAUAAGGUAAUCAUAAAGCUGCCGUCCAACUUGAAACGGCAGCUUUAUUU
rnacentral:sRNA from 1 species